rnacentral:rRNA from 1 species
UUUAAAUUGAGAGUGUGAUCCUGGCUCAGGACGAACGCUGGCGGCGUGCCUAACACAUGCAAGUCGAGCGAUGAAGCUUCCUUCGGGGAGUGGAUUAGCGGCGGACGGGUGAGUAACACGUGGGUAACCUGCCUCAAAGAGGGGGAUAGCCUCCCGAAAGGGAGAUUAAUACCGCAUAACAUUAUUUUAUGGCAUCAUAGAAUAAUCAAAGGAGCAAUCCGCUUUGAGAUGGACCCGCGGCGCAUUAGCUAGUUGGUGAGGUAAGGGCUCACCAAGGCGACGAUGCGUAGCCGACCUGAGAGGGUGAUCGGCCACAUUGGAACUGAGACACGGUCCAGACUCCUACGGGAGGCAGCAGUGGGGAAUAUUGCGCAAUGGGGGGAACCCUGACGCAGCAACGCCGCGUGAGUGAUGAAGGUUUUCGGAUCGUAAAACUCUGUCUUUAGGGACGAUAAUGACGGUACCUAAGGAGGAAGCCACGGCUAACUACGUGCCAGCAGCCGCGGUAAUACGUAGGUGGCAAGCGUUGUCCGGAUUUACUGGGCGUAAAGAGUAUGUAGGUGGGUGCUUAAGUCAGAUGUGAAAUUCCCGGGCUUAACCUGGGCGCUGCAUUUGAAACUGGGCAUCUAGAGUGCAGGAGAGGAAAGUGGAAUUCCUAGUGUAGCGGUGAAAUGCGUAGAGAUUAGGAAGAACACCAGUGGC